rnacentral:rRNA from 1 species
CUACGGGAUGCUGCAGUGAGGAAUUUUGCGCAAUGGGGGAAACCCUGACGCAGCAACGCCGCGUGAGCGAAGAAGGCCUUCGGGUCGUAAAGCUCUGUCAAGUGGGAAAAAAAUCUUUUGAUCAAUAGUCAAAAGACUUGAUGGUACCACUGGAGGAAGCACCGGCUAACUCCGUGCCAGCAGCCGCAGGUAAUACGGAGGGGUACAAGCGUUGUUCGGAUUUACUGGGCGUAAAGAGCGUGUAGGCGGUUUAGCAAGUCAGAUGUGAAAGCCCUGGGCUCAACCCGGGAAGUGCAUUUGAAACUGCUUCACUAGAGUAUGGGAGAGGAGAUUGGAAUUCCUGGUGUAGAGGUGAAAUUCGUAGAUAUCAGGAGGAACACCCGUGGCGAAGGCGAUUCUCUGGACCAAUACUGACGCUGAGACGCGAAAGCGUGGGGAGCAAACAGGAUUAGAUACCCUGGUAGUC